GUGGAGAAGCUGUGUAAGAGCAAAAUUACGCUAUCUUCUCAUCAAUUAGGAAGGGAAAACUGAGGCUCACAUUAAUAAAAAUUAAGCACAACUCACCAGUGGAAGGGAAGGUGGAGAUACCGUAGCAGCCACUUGCAAAAUGGCUAUUACUACUUAUCUCUGGAAUGUACCAUAUGGGAGGAGAGAGAAAGAUGGAGAUAUUUUGCCUCCAAUGGGAAUUGAACAUGAAUUAUAUGACAUCCAAAGUGGAGUCUCACAGCACCCACUGCAGAGGUGUCAACAUACAGACAGUGUCUAGUGCUGCAAGGAAGGGCAAGAAGUGGAAGAAAAAGACAGCAAGAUACCUAGGAGUUUGACUUGGCACUUCAGGAAGCCAGGACUUUGACCCAGUCAACAGCCCAGCUAGUUAGGGGCCCCACUAUAAUCCCUAGUUCAGACACAAGCUGUACUCAAGUUGCACUUUUGAAACCAGGUAGAAAAGUAAAAGGACUUGACCAGUUGAAAAACUGAGCCAGGAUGUCCAUCUUAUUUGCAUGAUUAGGCUAUUAAGUCACCUCUUGUCAUAGGCUAGCUUGGCAGCGUAGCAAGUGCAGGUAGCGUUGGUGGCACCUCAUGACAGACUUCUUUACAAAGCAAAGAGAAAGUCCCAAGAAGAAAUUCAACAGAAAGGCCUUGGCUCCAUGCAGAGAUAGGUGCAUAAAGUUCUCAGCCUGGAGAGAACUAGCACUCUACUGUUGUGUUGUAUUUCCAGCCACAGUAUUUCAUGAAUGAACUGAGCAGGAAGCCUCAACCUCAAAGCCACUUGCUUGGGCUGUGACCUCUCCUACCCCAACCAAAAACAGAAAGAAAAAAGAGACUAAAGAGUAGUUGUGGUCAAUAUAGAUAGGAUUUUAAAGUUGCCCUUCUUCCAAAUCACUGAACAAGGAUUAUAAACCUAUGUGAAGGCACUGAUAGUUUUGAAACCAUCUGUCUGUUAAAUUUGAUUUUGUAAGCUCAAAAAAAAAAAAAAAAAAAAUUACAGAAAACUAUCUUUUAAAGAAAUAAUGGAAACCAAAGUAGCUCCCUGUAUUCCUUCUCUUGUACUACUGUAGGGUGCUGUUUUAGUCAUAGCUAGGGACCUACUGAACUUGUGAUUUUUGCAAUUUACACGGAAACUGUGGUUUUGGGCAGACCCCAUGAAAAAAAUCACAACCUUUACACUUUUGGCAGGCUCCCUAGGGAAAACGAAACAAAACAACUCACCAAAAAUAAAAUGCUGUCUCCUUAUGGGGAGCCAGCAGUCCUUGUGGCCGCUGCGGCCUGGCUGUGCAGCCCGCUGUGAGUGUCGGGAAUAAGGGUGUCGUGCUGCUGCUGGCACAGCAAGUUGGCUGCCACCCCUGUCCUCCAUUGCUGAUUGGCUUUGAGGACUGUUUGUCAUAUGGCCUCGCCCCUUGCUAAUCACUGGUGAGGGGAGGGACCACAUAAUAGACAGGACUUGUAACCAAUGAACAGCAAGGGAUGGGGCUACUGGAGACUCUUGGCCAGAGGCGUUGCACUCCACCUAUGAAAAUGGUUGCCAGCUCCACAGUCUGUGCAUGAAAUCAUCCAGCAGCCACCUUGAGUUUCACAGACCCCUAGUCAUAGUGGUGUUCUUACGGGGUCUUUUUUCAAGCUUUCAAUCCCAGCCUCAGUCGUAAGAGCUACUAUCUCCAUAAUCGCAGCUUGUGUUGCUGGUCCUGGCCUCUAAGAGACAUGGGAAUGGCUUGUUCAUUUUUUUUUUAAACCCUUUAUAGAAGGAGAGGAUAGAGCUGGUACAGAAAACUGAACUGGGCAUAAGCAGUCAUGUCAUGUACCAGCUUUAGACCCGAGCUGAAGCAAGUUGACCCCUGCAACAAAAUUGCUUACUUCCCUCCUCUAAGUGACAUCUUAAGGCAGGACCACAACCUACUGAUCUCCUAUCAAAACUGGUGAGCUGAUGGUCUGUACAAGACAUUUGCCAGUACUGCUUUGAAAGUGGUCAGGGACCAUUAAAUAGCAUGAUGGGCUAAUAUGAAGGCUCACUGGACAAAGGGGCUUAAAUCACACCUCUCCUCCAGGUGCCUUGGUAGGUAUAUUUUGGCACAUGCAACCUGGCCAAACAGGCAAGGCUGCUCCUUUACAUUGGUCAGAAAAGCAGUUAGUAGGUGUGGAAAAAGUCUGUCCAAUUUAAACCACAAUGACGGGAGGCCAAGCAGAAAAAAAAAAAAAAGAUGGCUAACAUUUUUGAAUGAGGUCACUCUGCUGCAUCCUCGGGGAAGGAGAAAAAGAAGAAACAAAAAGCAGGCAACUGAACUCAGCCAUAUUUGAAGCAGCCAGGUGAACCGAGGCUUAACUGACGUCACCGCAGGCUGACAGUAGGGGCCAGACUGCUCUGCCAAUUUACAGAGGAGGGAGAAACGAGAGGAGUGAGAAAAGGGCAGGAGAAACGGCAGGCUGGGCCAUGCUGCGCACACCCACAUCCGAGAGAACACAGCCCAUACACACAGAAUCCUCAGGCUACCCUGUUGUCAUGGUUACUACCAUAUAUGGGUAAGCUGAGCCAUUCGACUGUGUGAGCAUUUGGGCUUUUUUUGGUUUAAAACUGUGGUUGCAGCCUCGGAGAGGAGGGGCUGAGGGAACCAUUGCCUUGAGGUUCCAGAUACCGGCCGUUGCUAAGAACGCUUGGAAGUCACUCCCUUUAACUAUUCGGACAAAAAUAUCUAGUUACUGUGGCAGUAUGGAAAGGCAGGGGGAGUUUCCAUAACUUUCUGGAUGACUGGUUUCCAAGUGACACACCAGGACACCAUUCUUCACUCAGAACAGGAAUAAGACACCCAAAAUCUUGUUGCUUCUGAAAUGCUCGAUCUUGCUGUUGCAUUUCCACCACAAGCAGUUUAAGGCUUUCUUGCCAAGUUGCUCCUGUUGCAUUCAGCACUUCCAGCUAAGGGCCCUUUCACACCGGCUGCAGAUUCUGUAACUCCAGUUCCCCAUCUCUGUAUUUCUGCCUCUAACAGCUUUGACUUUCCCACUUUCUCCCGCUGCUGCAGCGUGGGAGACAGCACGCUGUUUCAUGGCUGGUAAAUGAGCCAGAGCCCCU